rnacentral:rRNA from 1 species
AGUGAACGCUGGCGGUAUGCCUAACACAUGCAAGUCGAACGGUAUCCCACUAUAAGCUGCGUCUUACGGGUGGGGAGUGCCGGGGGGGUGAGGACUACACCGAAAUCUACUUUUCCGUGGGGGAUAACGAAGGGAAAUUAUCUCCAUUACCCCCUAGGACCAAGGGUUAAAACCAUGGGAUCUCCGGACCUUGCCCGAUUUAAUGAGCCGAUGUCGGAUUAGCUAGUUGGCGGGGGAAAGGCCCACCAAGGGGACGAUCCGUAGCUGGUCUCAGAGGAGGAUCAGCCACCCUGGAACUGAGACACGGUCCAGACUCCUAAGGGAGGCGGCAGUGGGAAAUAUUGGACAAUGGGCGAAAGCCUGAUACAGCCAUACCGCGUAGGUGCAGAAGGCCUUCGGGUUGUAAAGCCCUUUUGUUGGGAAAGAAAAGCAGCAGGUUCAUACACCGCUGUUCUGACGGUACCCAAAGAAUAAGCACCGGCUAACUUCGUG